GUCCAGAGUAAGACUGCGCUGCAGACUCGUUGAAGAAGUAAAAUGUAUCAUCCAAAUCGAGGUCUGGUUCAGAAGGAUCCUGUGACGGCGGGACAGUUUCUGGCGACAGAAGUCAGUGCAGUGCUUCUGCCAUGAAGUCUUGGAGGCCCAAAAAAACUUCUCGGCUGCAGAUAUGAUGUCUGACCUCUUGGACACUUGUGGCUAUAAACGCUACAAAAAUCCACCAUCUUUACAAUAAGUGUAUGCAGAUCGCUUGAUUGGCGUAUAUCGUUUUCAACUGAUUGUGAUGCAUCCACCUCCGUAUCUUCUUCUUCAACACUGUGGCCUCUUACCUCUUCAACUCCCUGAACCGCCUCCACAUAGUAGAAUUGCUUUACAGCCCUGAUCCUUGACCCUUCAACUUAUUUCACCCUAACAGGGCACUCAGGGAAUUCGAUCCUCGCCACAGUUGCAACAUUUUACAUUCACAGACUCUUCACUAAUAUAUUCCUUCGGUCUGAAAACUUUUUACACUUUUUUUGCAUCGGGUUUUGCACGAACGCUCUUAACAGCGUAUCUUAUAUAUCCCAAACUUUACAUAGAAAAUAAAGUAAAUAGUUCUCCACUAAUACUAAUCCAAACAUCACUAAUACAGAUAAAGUUUGCCCUUUGUACCCCUCAUUCUCCGUUACGGGUCAAGAGACGUGCUUUAACUAGUCCUGGAAAGAUAUUGAUUACCAAUUUCCACCCGGGACGCCAGAGAGAACCCUUUUUACCGGUGUACUGCUCCGAAAAUCAAAGCUCUCCACUUCAUGUGUCGAUAAUUUUGCAAGUUACAAAUCACGCUCUUUUUGCUUACAUAAACACGAUAUCAACACCAUACCACUCCUGGUUACUAUGACUACAUGAUAUCAACACCAUACCACCCCUGGUUACUAUGACUACACAAUAUCAACACCAUACCGCUCCUGGUUACUAUGACUACACGAUAUCAACACCAUACCACUUUUCCCAUCCUCGUGAGAAAAAAAAAAACAUUUUCAAAUGAACGUCUUCAUUUUUUUUUAAACGUCCCAACAAGCAACGAUUCAUCAGACUAAUUUUCCAAUUACAAUUUAACCCUUUUUUUGUGUUCCAUUCUUGGACUUAACUGUUGUCAUCUUUCUCACUAACUGUACUUGACGCUCUUUCAACCUCAAACAACAGUUCUGUUUCCGCCAUCUCAACCCUUUUUCGAUUUCACCUUUAUUUAACCAGGUAGGCCAGUUGAGAACAAGUUCUUAUUUACAACUGUGACCUCUGGCCAAGAUAAAGCACAGCAGUUUGACACAGAGUUACACAUGGAGUAAACAAAACAUACAGUCAUACAAUAACACAAUAGAAAAAGUUUAUAUACAGUGUGUGCAAAUUAAGUAAGGAGGUAAUGCAAUAAAUAGGCCAAUAGUGGCAAAGUAAUUACAAUUUAGCUAAUUAACACUGGAGUGAUAGAUGUUUAGAUGAUGAUGUGCAAGUAGAUAAAUAAAGUAAUAAAUAAAACAGUAUGGGGAUGAGGUAGGUAGUUGGAUGGGCUAUUUACAGAUGGGCUAUUUACAGAUGGACUAUGUACAGCUGCAGCGAUCGGUUAGCUGCUCAGAUAGCUGAUGCUUAAACCUCAGGCCCUGGCAGCCCCAUCUUGGUAUUUAUGGGAGUAAAUCAGGGAGCCCAAGUCACAUUGUAUCCUAAACAAGAAGGAGAUGGAAGGACAAGGAGAUGCCUCCAAGGUGGCAUAGCAGUUCAGACGUCUUUUGUCCUCGUCUUGUCGUGUCCUGUAUAUAUAUAUAUUUACAACUUUUUUCACAUACAUUUUAUUUUUAUUUUCCAUCAACUCAUCUUCAAAACACUCUCCUGCAACCCGCCUCACCAAUUUAUAUUUAUAAAAAAGUAUUAUUUACCUCAAAUCUGUAAUCCUCCAAGAAGCUAGCCUGAAACUAGCCAGAAGCUAAUCCAGAAGCUAAUCAGAAGCUAGUUCAGAAGCUAGUUAGCUUCUUUACUGGCAAAUCGUUAGUAUUCAGCUAACCACGGUUUGUGGUCAUCAGCUAUACUUUAGCUCGAAAAUCUAUCACCAGUUCUGUACGGCGCAGCGCGGCUCGGAACGGAACAUACCGGACCAAUUUUUCUCUCCAUGUCCCUGGAUUUCGACUGCUCUCUGGACAUUCAUACCCGGAUCUCACGGCUAGCUAGCUGCUAUCGAUGGCCUGGCUAGCUGUCUAAAUCGCCGUGACCCCCAACCAACCACUCCACUCACUGGACCCUUUUGAUCACUCGACUAAGCAUGCCUCUCCUUACUGUCAAUAUGUCUUGUCCAUUGCUGUUCUGGUUAGUGUUUAUUGGCUUAUUUCACUGUAGAGCCUCUAGUCCUGCUCACUAUACCUUAUCCAACCUAUUAGUUCCACCACCCACACAUGCACUGACAUCUCCUGGUUUCAAUGAUGUUUCUAGAGACAAUAUCUCUCUCUUCAUCACUCAAUACCUAGGUUUACCUCCACUGUAUUCACAUACUACCAUACCUUUGUCUGUACAUUAUACCUUGAUGCUAUUUUACCGCCCCCGAAACCUCCUUUUACUCUAUGUUCCAGACGUUCUAGACGACCAAUUCUCAUAGCUUUUAGCCGUACCCUUAUUCUACUCCUCCUAUGUUCCUCUGGCGAUGUAGAGGUGAAUCCAGGCCCUGCAGUGCCUAGCUCCACUCCUAUUCCCCAGGCGCUCUCUUUUGACGACUUCUGUAACCGUAAUAGCCUUGGUUUCAUGCAUGUUAACAUUAGAAGCCUCCUCCCUAAGUUUGUUCUAUUCACUGCUUUAGCAUACUCUGCCAACCCGGAUGUUCUAGCUGUGUCUGAAUCCUGGCUUAGGAAGACCACCAAAAAUUCAGAAAUUUUAAUUCCAAACUACAACAUUUUCAGACAAGAUAGAACUGCCAAAGGGGGCGGUGUUGCAAUCUACUGCAAAGAUAGCCUGCAGAGUUCUGUCCUACUAUCCAGGUCUGUACCCACUGCUAGGCGACCUAAACUGGAACAUGCUUAACACCCCGGCCAUCCUACAAUCUAAACUUGAUGCCCUCAAUCUCACACAAAUUAUCAAUGAACCUACCAGGUACCUCCCCAAAGCCUUAAACACGGGCACCCUCAUAGAUAUCAUCCUAACCAACUUCCCCUCUAAAUACACCUCUGCUGUCUUCAACCAAGAUCUCAGCGAUCACUGCCUCAUUGCCUGCAUCUGUAAUGGGUCAGCGGUCAAACGACCUCCACUCAUCACUGUAAAACGCUCCCUGUAAAACGCUCCCUGAAACACUUCUGCGAGCAGGCCUUUCUAAUCGACCUGGCCGGGGUAUCCUGGAAGGAUAUUGAUCUCAUCCCGUCAGUAGAGGAUGCCUGGAUAUAUUUUUUAAAUGCCUUCCUAACCAUCUUAAAUAAACAUGCCCCAUUCAAGAAAUUUAGAACCAGGAACAGAUAUAGCCCUUGGUUCUCCCCAGACCUGACUGCCCUUAACCAACACAAAAACAUCCUAUGGCGUUCUGCAUUAGCAUCGAACAGCCCCCGUGAUAUGCAGCUGUUCAGGGAAGCUAGAAACCAUUAUACACAGGCAGUUAGAAAAGCCAAGGCUAGCUUUUUCAAGCAGAAAUUUGCUUCCUGCAACACUAACUCAAAAAAGUUCUGGGACACUGUAAAGUCCAUGGAGAAUAAGAACACUUCCUCCCACUUCCUCCCAGCUGCCCACUGCACUGAAGAUAGGAAACACUGUCACCACUGAUAAAUCCACCAUAAUUGAUAAUUUCAAUAAGCAUUUUUCUACGGCUGGCCAUGCUUUCCACCUGGCUACUCCUACCCCGGUCCUACCCCGGUCAACAGCACUGCACCCCCAACAGCAACUCGCCCAAGCCUUCCCCAUUUCUCCUUCUCCCAAAUCCAUUCAGCUGAUGUUCUGAAAGAGCUGCAAAAUCUGGACCCCUACAAAUCAGCUGGGCUAGACAAUCUGGACCCUUUCUUUCUGAAAUUAUCUGCCGAAAUUGUUGCCACCCCUAUUACUAGCCUGUUCAACCUCUCUUUCAUGUCGUCUGAGAUUCCCAAAGAUUGGAAAGCAGCUGCGGUCAUCCCCCUCUUCAAAGGGGGGGACACUCUUGACCCAAACUGCUACAGACCCAUAUCUAUCCUACCGUGCCUUUCUAAGGUCUUCGAAAGCCAAGUCAACAAACAGAUUACCGACCAUUUCGAAUCUCACCAUACCUUCUCUGCUAUGCAAUCUGGUUUCAGAGCUGGUCAUGGGUGCACCUCAGCCACGCUCAAGGUCCUAAACGAUAUCUUAACCGCCAUCGAUAAGAAACAUUACUGUGCAGCCGUAUUCAUUGAUCUGGCCAAGGCUUUCGACUCUGUCAAUCACCACAUCCUCAUCGGCAGACUCGACAGCCUUGGUUUCUCAAAUGAUUGCCUCACCUGGUUCACCAACUACUUCUCUGAUAGAGUUCAGUGUGUCAAAUCGGAGGGUCUGCUGUCCGGACACCAUUCUGUAUACUUCUGGCCCUUCUUUGCACACUGUGUUAACAACCCUCCAGGCAAGCUUCAAUGCCAUACAACUCUCCUUCCGUGGCCUCCAAUUGCUCUUAAAUACAAGUAAAACUAAAUGCAUGCUCUUCAACCGAUCGCUACCUGCACCUACCCGCCUGUCCAACAUCACUACUCUGGACGGCUCUGACUUAGAAUACGUGGACAACUACAAAUACUUAGGUGUCUGGUUAGACUGUAAACUCUCCUUCCAGACCCACAUCAAACACCUCCAAUCCAAAGUUAAAUCUAGAAUCGGCUUCCUAUUUCGCAACAAAGCAUCCUUCACUCAUGCUGCCAAACAUACCCUUGUAAAACUGACCAUCCUACCAAUCCUCGACUUUGGCGAUGUCAUUUACAAAAUAGCCUCCAAUACCCUACUCAACAAAUUGGAUGCAGUCUAUCACAGUGCAAUCCGUUUUGUCACCAAAGCCCCAUAUACUACCCACCAUUGCGACCUGUACGCUCUCGUUGGCUGGCCCUCACUUCAUACUCGUCGCCAAACCCACUGGCUCCAUGUCAUCUACAAGACCCUGCUAGGUAAAGUCCCCCCUUAUCUCAGCUCGCUGGUCACCAUAGCAUCUCCCACCUGUAUCACAUGCUCCAGCAGGUAUAUCUCUCUAGUCACCCCCAAAACCAAUUCUUUCUUUGGCCGCCUCUCCUUCCAGUUCUCUGCUGCCAAUGACUGGAACGAACUACAAAAAUCUCUGAAACUGGAAACACUUAUCUCCCUCACUAGCUUUAAGCACCAACUGUCAGAGCAGCUCACAGAUUACUGCACCUGUACAUAGCCCACCUAUAAUUUAGCCCAAACAACUACCUCUUUCCCAACUGUAUUUCAUUUUAAUGUAUUUAUUUAUUUUGCUCCUUUGCACCCCAUUAUUUUUAUUUCUACUUUUUUUUUUUUUUCUUUUUUAUUUCUACUUUGCACAUUCUUCCAUUGCAAAACUACCAUUCCAGUGUUUUACUUGCUAUAUUGUAUUUACUUUGCCACCAUGGCCUUUUUUGCCUUUACCUCCCUUCUCACCUCAUUUGCUCACAUCGUAUAUAGACUUGUUUAUACUGUAUUAUUGACUGUAUGUUUGUUUUACUCC
ensembl:lncRNA